GACGAACGCUGGCGGCGUGCUUAACACAUGCAAGUCGAACGGAAAGUGCUCUUCGGAGUGACUCGAGUGGCGAACGGGUGAGUAACACGUGGGUGAUCUGCCCUGCACUUUGGGAUAAGCCUGGGAAACUGGGUCUAAUACCGAAUAGGACCACGCGCUUCAUGGUGUGUGGUGGAAAGCUUUUGCGGUGUGGGAUGGGCCCGCGGCCUAUCAGCUUGUUGGUGGGGUAAUGGCCUACCAAGGCGACGACGGGUAGCCGGCCUGAGAGGGUGACCGGCCACACUGGGACUGAGAUACGGCCCAGACUCCUACGGGAGGCAGCAGUGGGGAAUAUUGCACAAUGGGCGCAAGCCUGAUGCAGCGACGCCGCGUGAGGGAUGACGGCCUUCGGGUUGUAAGCCUCUUUCAGUAGGGACGAAGCGCAAGUGACGGUACCUAUAGAAGAAGGACCGGCCAACUACGUGCCAGCCGCCGCGGUAA
rnacentral:rRNA from 1 species